UCUUCGGAUUGUUGUUAAUUUUUUCUUCAACGGGAACCUCCACUUCUAUCACAUCAAGUUUCCUUUUGAGCUUCAUUUGCAUCUCAUGCUUGGUGUGAAGAUCAAAAGGUUCCAUUAUUUGAGUAUUGUAACCAUUUUUCUCCACAAUAUGAUCAUCACUUGCAGAAUCUUCAUUCAUUCUCACAUUCUCUUCCAUUACAAUCUCAUUAAGGGAUGGAACAGAAGAAGCAAACAAAUUCUCAUCCAUGCGAAAAUCAUUGGAUAUACAAUUAUUAAUAUUAUUUUCUAGUACA
rnacentral:lncRNA from 1 species